UUCCAGGCCUGACAUUAAUACAUCUGUCG
rnacentral:sRNA from 1 species